rnacentral:rRNA from 1 species
UACGAACCGUGCGAACGUUGUUCGGAAUCACUGGGCUUAAAGGGCGCGUAGGCGGCUUGUCAAGUCGGGGGUGAAAUCCGGCAGCUUAACUGUCGAAGUGCCUUCGAUACUGACAAGCUCGAGGGAGGUAGGGGUCUGUGGAACUUCUGGUGGAGCGGUGAAAUGCGUUGAUAUCAGAAGGAACGCCGGUGGCGAAAGCGACGGACUGGAUCUCUUCUGACGCUGAGGCGCGAAAGCUAGGGUAGCGAACGGG